UGGAUGCUAGUCUGAGUGUAAGCUGCGGACCUGCGCUUAAUUGCGCGGUUUGUGGUUGCGCCUGGGUUGGUGUUGCUAACGGUGUCUUUCUACUUUACACACUGUGGAGAUUUUUCUUUCAGUAUUUUUCUUUGGGCUCUCGGGCCCAGAGGUAUUAAACACAAACAAUUUUGUAAUUACCUAGUCAAGAUCAGUUUUUUUGAAACUACAAACUUCAAAACUUUCAACAACGGAUCUCUUGGUUCUCGCAUCGAUGAAGAACGCAGCGAAAUGCGAUACGUAAUGUGAAUUGCAGAAUUCCGUGAAUCAUCGAAUCUUUGAACGCACAUUGCGCCCCUUGGUAUUCCAGGGGGCAUGCCUGUUUGAGCGUCAUUUCCUUCUCAAACACUAGUGUUUGGUUGUGAGUGAUACUCUCUUUUGAGUUAGCUUGAAAGUGUUGGCCGAUUGCAGUUGUAUUGCGAGCGUAUACAGAUUGAAAUAGAGUAGUGUUGCGUGUGCCUUUUGGUGCAGGCUCUCUGUCCAUUCAACUGUGUGUGUUUCUGAUACUGUGCUGUGAAAAUGUACAAGGUCGUAUUAGGUUUUACCAACUCGAUUGCGUGUAUUUUUGUGGUAUGGUUGAAGGGAUGUGCAUGGGGGUGGUGAGUUGAGUAACAAUGCUAUGUUUUGUCUAUAUGUGUUUGUGAAGCUGUGGCGAACAAUAUUCUCCAAGUUUGACCUCAAAUCAGGUAGGAAUACCC
rnacentral:rRNA from 1 species